rnacentral:rRNA from 1 species
UACAGAGGGGGCGAGCGUUGUUCGGAAUUACUGGGCGUAAAGGGCGCGUAGGCGGCCUGCUAAGUCGAACGUGAAAUCCCUGGGCUCAACCCAGGAACUGCGUCCGAUACUGGUUGGCUUGAGUCCGGGAGAGGGAUGUGGAAUUCCAGGUGUAGCGGUGAAAUGCGUAGAUAUCUGGAGGAACACCGGUGGCGAAGGCGACAUCCUGGACCGGCAUUGACGCUGAGGCGCGAAAGCCAGGGGAGCAAACGGG